CCUUGACAUACUAAGAACUUUCCAGAGAUGGAUUGGUGGCCUUCGGGAACUUAGAUACAGGUGCUGCAUGGCUGUCGUCAGCUCGUGUCGUGAGAUGUUGGGUUAAGUCCCGNAACGAGCGCAACCCUUUUCCUAUUUGCCAGCGGGUCAUGCCGGGAACUUUAAGGAUACUGCCAGUGACAAACUGGAGGAAGGCGGGGACGACGUCAAGUCAUCAUGGCCCUUACGGCCAGGGCUACACACGUGCUACAAUGGUCGGUACAAAGGGUUGCUACCUCGCGAGAGGAUGCUAAUCUCAAAAAGCCGAUCGUAGUCCGGAUCGCAGUCUGCAACUCGACUGCGUGAAGUCGGAAUCGCUAGUAAUCGCGGAUCAGAAUGCCGCGGUGAAUACGUUCCCGGGCCUUGUACACACCGCCCGUCACACCAUGGGAGUUUGUUGCACCAGAAGUAGGUAGUCUAACCGCAAGGAGGACGCUUACCACGGUGUGGCCGAUGACUGGGGUGAAGUCGUAACAAGGUAAGCGUAGAUGA
rnacentral:rRNA from 1 species